UUAAGCGACUAAGCGUACACGGUGGAUGCCCUGGCAGUCAGAGGCGAUGAAGGACGUGCUAAUCUGCGAAAAGCGCCGGCGAGGUGAUAUGAACCUUUGACCCGGCGAUGUCCGAAUGGGGAAACCCAGUGUGAUUCGUCACACUAUCGUUAACUGAAUACAUAGGUUAACGAGGCGAACCGGGGGAACUGAAACAUCUAAGUACCCCGAGGAAAAGAAAUCAACCGAGAUUCCCCCAGUAGCGGCGAGCGAACGGGGAGCAGCCCAGAGUCUGAAUCAGCGUGUGUGUUAGUGGAAGCGUCUGGAAAGUCGCACGAUACAGGGUGAUAGUCCCGUACACGAAAGCACACAUGCUGUGAACUCGAAGAGUAGGGCGGGACACGUGGUAUCCUGUCUGAAUAUGGGGGGACCAUCCUCCAAGGCUAAAUACUCCUGACUGACCGAUAGUGAACCAGUACCGUGAGGGAAAGGCGAAAAGAACCCCGGCGAGGGGAGUGAAAAAGAACCUGAAACCGUGUACGUACAAGCAGUGGGAGCACCCUUCGGGGUGUGACUGCGUACCUUUUGUAUAAUGGGUCAGCGACUUAUAUUCUGUAGCAAGGUUAACCGAAUAGGGGAGCCGAAGGGAAACCGAGUCUUAACUGGGCGUUAAGUUGCAGGGUAUAGACCCGAAACCCGGUGAUCUAGCCAUGGGCAGGUUGAAGGUUGGGUAACACUAACUGGAGGACCGAACCGACUAAUGUUGAAAAAUUAGCGGAUGACCUGUGGCUGGGGGUGAAAGGCCAAUCAAACCGGGAGAUAGCUGGUUCUCCCCGAAAGCUAUUUAGGUAGCGCCUCGUGAACUCAUCUUCGGGGGUAGAGCACUGUUUCGGCUAGGGGGUCAUCCCGACUUACCAACCCGAUGCAAACUGCGAAUACCGAAGAAUGUUAUCACGGGAGACACACGGCGGGUGCUAACGUCCGUCGUGAAGAGGGAAACAACCCAGACCGCCAGCUAAGGUCCCAAAGUCAUGGUUAAGUGGGAAACGAUGUGGGGAAGGCCCAGACAGCCAGGAUGUUGGCUUAGAAGCAGCCAUCAUUUAAAGAAAGCGUAAUAGCUCACUGGUCGAGUCGGCCUGCGCGGAAGAUGUAACGGGGCUAAACCAUGCACCGAAGCUGCGGCAGCGGCGCUUAUGCGUUGUUGGGUAGGGGAGCGUUCUGUAAGCCGUUGAAGGUGUGCUGUGAGGCAUGCUGGAGGUAUCAGAAGUGCGAAUGCUGACAUAAGUAACGAUAAAGCGGGUGAAAAGCCCGCUCGCCGGAAGACCAAGGGUUCCUGUCCAACGUUAAUCGGGGCAGGGUGAGUCGACCCCUAAGGCGAGGCCGAAAGGCGUAGUCGAUGGGAAACAGGUUAAUAUUCCUGUACUUGGUGUUACUGCGAAGGGGGGACGGAGAAGGCUAUGUUAGCCGGGCGACGGUUGUCCCGGUUUAAGCAUGUAGGCGGAGGUUCCAGGUAAAUCCGGUACCUUUUAACGCUGAGGUGUGAUGACGAGGCACUACGGUGCUGAAGUAACAAAUGCCCUGCUUCCAGGAAAAGCCUCUAAGCUCCAGGUAACACGAAAUCGUACCCCAAACCGACACAGGUGGUCAGGUAGAGAAUACCAAGGCGCUUGAGAGAACUCGGGUGAAGGAACUAGGCAAAAUGGUGCCGUAACUUCGGGAGAAGGCACGCUGACAUGUAGGUGAAGCCCCUGCGGGUGGAGCUGAAGUCAGUCGAAGAUACCAGCUGGCUGCAACUGUUUAUUAAAAACACAGCACUGUGCAAACACGAAAGUGGACGUAUACGGUGUGACGCCUGCCCGGUGCCGGAAGGUUAAUUGAUGGGGUUAUCCUUAGGGAGAAGCUCUUGAUCGAAGCCCCGGUAAACGGCGGCCGUAACUAUAACGGUCCUAAGGUAGCGAAAUUCCUUGUCGGGUAAGUUCCGACCUGCACGAAUGGCGUAAUGAUGGCCAGGCUGUCUCCACCCGAGACUCAGUGAAAUUGAACUCGCUGUGAAGAUGCAGUGUACCCGCGGCAAGACGGAAAGACCCCGUGAACCUUUACUAUAGCUUGACACUGAACAUUGAGCCUUGAUGUGUAGGAUAGGUGGGAGGCUUUGAAGCGUGGACGCCAGUCUGCGUGGAGCCAACCUUGAAAUACCACCCUUUAAUGUUUGAUGUUCUAACCUGGCGCCGUAAUCCGGCGUGGGGACAGUGUCUGGUGGGUAGUUUGACUGGGGCGGUCUCCUCCUAAAGAGUAACGGAGGAGCACGAAGGUUGGCUAAUCCUGGUCGGACAUCAGGAGGUUAGUGCAAUGGCAUAAGCCAGCUUGACUGCGAGCGUGACGGCGCGAGCAGGUGCGAAAGCAGGUCAUAGUGAUCCGGUGGUUUCUGAAUGGAAGGGCCAUCGCUCAACGGAUAAAAGGUACUCCGGGGAUAACAGGCUGAUACCGCCCAAGAGUUCAUAUCGACGGCGGUGUUUGGCACCUCGAUGUCGGCUCAUCACAUCCUGGGGCUGAAGUAGGUCCCAAGGGUAUGGCUGUUCGCCAUUUAAAGUGGUACGCGAGCUGGGUUUAGAACGUCGUGAGACAGUUCGGUCCCUAUCUGCCGUGGGCGCUGGAGAAUUGAGGGGGGCUGCUCCUAGUACGAGAGGACCGGAGUGGACGCAUCACUGGUGUUCGGGUUGUCAUGCCAAUGGCAUUGCCCGGUAGCUACAUGCGGAAGAGAUAAGUGCUGAAAGCAUCUAAGCACGAAACUUGCCCCGAGAUGAGUUCUCCCUGAGACCCAGAGUCUCCUGAAGGAACGUUAAAGACUAUGACGUUGAUAGGCCGGGUGUGUAAGCGCAGCGAUGCGUUGAGCUAACCGGUACUAAUGAACCGUGAGGCUUAACCUU
rnacentral:rRNA from 1 species